UACGUAGGGGGCAAGCGUUGUCCGGAAUCAUUGGGCGUAAAGCGCGCGUAGGCGGCCUUGUAAGUCCGUUGUGAAAGUCAAAGGCUCAACCUUUGAAAGCCGAUGGAUACUGCAAGGCUGGAGUCCGGAAGAGGCGAGUGGAAUUCCUGGUGUAGCGGUGGAAUGCGCAGAUAUCAGGAGGAACACCAAUAGCGAAGGCAGCUCGCUGGGACGGUACUGACGCUAAGGCGCGAAAGCGUGGGGAGCGAACAGG
rnacentral:rRNA from 1 species